AGCGAACGCUGGCGGAAUGCUUAACACAUGCAAGUCGCACGCCCUGCAAGGGGAGUGGCGGACGGGUGAGUAACGCGUAGGAAUAUGUCCAGAGGUGGGGGACAACCCUGGGAAACUGGGGCUAAUACCGCAUAUGGGCUGAGGCCCAAAGCAGUGAUGCGCCUUUGGAGUAGCCUGCGUCCGAUUAGCUUGUUGGUGGGGUAAAGGCUUACCAAGGCGACGAUCGGUAGCUGGUCUGAGAGGACGACCAGCCAAACUGGGACUGAGACAAGGCCCAGACUCCGACGGGAGGCAGCAGUGGGGAAUAUUGGACAAUGGGCGCAAGCCUGAUCCAGCAAUUCCGCGUGGGUGAAGAAGGUCUUCGGAUUGUAAAGCCCUUUCGACGGGGACGAUGAUGACGGUACCCGUAGAAGAAGCCCCGGCUAACUUCGUGCCAGCAGCCGCAGUAA
rnacentral:rRNA from 1 species